rnacentral:rRNA from 1 species
AGUGAACGCUGGCGGUAGGCCUAACACAUGCAAGUCGAACGGCAGCACAGUAAGAGCUUGCUCUUACGGGUGGCGAGUGGCGGACGGGUGAGGAAUACAUCGGAAUCUACUUUUUCGUGGGGGAUAACGUAGGGAAACUUACGCUAAUACCGCAUACGACCUACGGGUGAAAGCAGGGGAUCUUCGGACCUUGCGCGAUUGAAUGAGCCGAUGUCGGAUUAGCUAGUUGGCGGGGUAAAGGCCCACCAAGGCGAGGAUCCGUAGCUGGUCUGAGAGGAUGAUCAGCGACACUGGAACUGGGACACGGUCCAGACUCCUACGGGAGGCAGCAGUGGGGAAUAUUGGACAAUGGGCGCAAGCCUGAUCCAGCCAUACCGCGUGGGUGAAGGAGGCCUUCGGGUUGUAAAGCCCUUUUGUUGGGAAAGAAAAGCAGCAGGUUAAUACCCCGCUGUUCUGACGGUACCCAAAGAAUAAGCACCGGCUAACUUCGUG